AUUAAACGCUAGCGGCAUGCCUUACACAUGCAAGUCGAACGGCAGCGGGCUUUUCGGAGCGCCGGCGAGUGGCAAACGGGUGAGUAAUACAUCGGAACAUGCCCAUUAGUGGGGGAUAGCUCGGCGAAAGCCGAAUUAAUACCGCAUACGACCUUCGGGUGAAAGGGGGGGAUCUUCGGACCUCUCGCUAUUGGAGUGGCCGAUGGCUGAUUAGUUUGUUGGUGGGGUAACGGCCUACCAAGACUGCGAUCAGUAGCUGGUCUGAGAGGACGAUCAGCCACACUGGGACUGCGACACGGCCCAGACUCCUACGGGAGGCAGCAGUGGGGAAUCUUGGACAAUGGGCGAAAGCCUGAUCCAGCAAUGCCGCGUGUGCGAUGAAGGCUUUCGGGUUGUAAAGCACUUUUAUCAGGGAAGAAAUGGUUUGGGAUAAUACCUCAAAUAGCUGACGGUACCUGAAGAAUAAGCACCGGCUAACUACGUGCCAGCAGCCGCGGUAAUACGUAGGGUGCAAGCGUUAAUCGGAAUUACUGGGCGUAAAGCGUGCGCAGGCGGUUUGCUAAGACAGGUGUGAAAUCCCCGGGCUCAACCCGGGAACUGCAUCUGUGACUAGCAGACUAGAGUUUGGCAGAGGGGGGUGGAAUUCCUGGUGUAGCAGUGAAAUGCGUAGAUAUCAGGAGGAACACCGAUGGCGAAGGCAGCCCCCUGGGCCACCACUGACGCUCAUGCACGAAAGCGUGGGGAGCAAACAGGAUUAGAUACCCUGGUAGUCCACGCCCUAAACGAUGUCAACUAGUUGUUGGAUCUUUUUUGAUUUGGUAACGAAGCUAACGCGUGAAGUUGACCGCCUGGGGAGUACGGCCGCAAGGUUA
rnacentral:rRNA from 1 species